rnacentral:lncRNA from 1 species
UGGAGAAAAAAAUCAACAAAAUAUUAUAAUAGAGGAAAAACACAUGAUAUUGUGCAUAUAGUUUAACAUUAACUAACUGCAUGAAGAAAUGAAAUAUAAGAAAAAGAAAAUCCAACAUUCUCUCUAUAUUAAACUAUCUUGACGAAAAUACCAUAGGAAUUUAAAAGCAUCAAAAUCCAUAUCCAAACUAUUUUUACGUCCAUAUCCAUUAAUUUAGGAUCAUGAAAACAUUUUUCCAGCAUUCUCUCCACCUUCAACUCUUUUGAGGAUGAUACCCUUGGAAUUCAAAAGCACCCAAAUUCGUAUCCUGAUUGAGUAUCAUGACACCUCCAAUAAACCAUUUGUCUAAUGAGAAGGAAAAAAAAUGAUUUAGGGGAAGUCUUCCGCAUAGCCAAUGGCCAAAAAGGAAACAUAAACAUAAAUCUUAAAAAGGACAUUCCUAUCACUUGUCACUUGUUUAUUAUAAAGCUUAUGAAUUUUUUUCAUAUAAUAGAAACACAUUUUGCUAUCAGAAUCUUAAACUAUUUAUUGCAUUUUCACAUUAUAACUUUAAAUCACACUGAUUAAAUAAGAAAAAAAAUAAUUAAAAAGAAAUUAGUGUGGUACAAUUGAAUAUGAAAUGCUAUAUUACAAAAAUCAAAUGAAAGUACAUUGCAAAUUCUUUGCAUAUCUCUAAAUCUGGCUUGUUUACAUAACAUCAACGUAUGAAUUACCUCAACUUGCUUGAACCUCCUUUACAUAUUUCUUCAAUCCUGAGUCCAAACUUAUUCCAUUAGCUCCAUGACAUGUUAGAAAAAGAAAAACAAACCUGGAGACCAACAUCGAACAAAGCCACUGGUUCCUUUUUUGUAAUGAAAAAUCAUCAAUGCCCAUACAUCCAACAGAAAAACAUAUAAAAAGACACAAAUGACUCUUUUCUUGGUUAAAUACAAAACCUACGUAUGAUGUUUAAGUGGACAAUUAUAUAGACAACAAUUAUUUGGAACACCCAAAACAAACACAAAACCCUCAACAUAUGUGCUAUAGUAUUAUAUAUUUUGUCAGUUCUAAUAAAAAUAGCUUUCUACAUUCUUCGGAAUGUGAAACACCCGAUUUUCAAGAAAAUAACAGUUAUGGUGAGCAUAACAAACACAAAUCCCACACUAUAUACCAACAUCACAUACACACAUCAGCACCCACAACACAUGCACACAGUACUUCUGGUGUGAUUUGGACUAAGAUCCUAUUUGUCUCGUCCAAAAAAGAAUCCUUUAUUCUCAAAUAGAAUAAAUUCAAACCAGACUUUUGAUGUUGCAUGUUUAAGCGAAAAAUAAUUGUUAAGAAUAAUAAGGGUAUUUUAGUCAUCUAAUGUUACCAUGAUGAUCAAGGAUGAACAGAUGAAUAUGAACUGUUCACGGAUAUGCAUGUUUUACAUCUCCAUAACACAUCAUUCAUGUUUUCUGUACCACAAUUGAUGAUGAAUUGUUCAGAUAGAUUGCUCAUGCCUUUCCUCCAUGUUGUUUUUAGUAGAAUUCUUAAAUAUUAUUCCUUUUCUACCAAGAAAAAUAACUUUGAUUACUAAAUCGAUUAUUAAUGACUCAGCAUUUAAAAGAAAAUAAAUCCUGAAAUCAAAGGCUCCAAAACUAUUUUCUUAUGUAAAUUAAUGUCCACACAAUCCUGUACAACUAAAAAAAUAUUAGCCCCUAGUUUAUUUGGUUUUUGGAUGAGGUUUUUUUAUCACAGACCAACAAUAAACCAACAAAUCUUUGGGAGGGAUCUGUUUUACCUUGAGAUAAAAAACAAAUAACAGAAAACAUAGAUUUUAGGGCACAAACCUUAGAUAUUUAGGGUCUAUCUUUUACCUUGAGAUCUUCUUGGGUAAUUUGUUUGUGAGAGAAUGAAGAGUGCCAAGAUAUGUGAUAAUGUUAACAUAACCAUCAAAUUAUUGAUCAGAUAGGUCACUAUUACCGAGUUUUUCACCAGGUAAUCUUUUAAAUCCAUUUUCUCUGGACAUUUUCUACGUAUAUCCCAAGUUUCAGAUCAAGAAUGAUCUAAUUUUAAAGAAGCCAUUUUAUGAAACCUAAGAAAACAAAAUCCCACCCGAGAAGACAAAUAACAAGAAAAAUUUUAAAAAAUAACUUGAAAAUUCAAUGGAUAUAAACAUUAGAUGGAACAUGAUAUCGAUUUUUCCAGGAAACUAUAACCUAAAAGGCUGAAAACAAAAAUUCAAAAAUAUAAACCCACCUGAAAAUACAGUGUUGGAGUCGUUUAUUUGUAGAAGGAAUGGUGAUAGUGUAUUAGGGUAUUUCAUUCUAGUAGUAGCGAUUGUAGUAGUGAUGGAAAAGGUGAAUGAUGAUGCAAGGGUUUCAGGAGACAGCGUUAAAAAGCUUUGUAACAUACCAAAUAUAUCAAGAUGGUUAUUAUAGUCAUAGCUUGUUGCCAAAAAAAACCCUUUUGCUAGGUCUCCCUAAUCGAUUUGUUCAUCGUAUGAUUUGGAUCUUACCUAAAAAUCCAAUUAAAAGAGAUUUCCAAAGAAAAAUAAAUUACAAAAAUGAAAAUCAAUAUAAAAACACAAAAUAAGCGAUAAAAUAAACCUUAUACUUGGUUAGGUUUUAGCGAAGAUUAAUUUGUGGUCAGAAAUUCUGAGCAUUGUUCUUCAUUUGAUG